rnacentral:rRNA from 1 species
CAGUAGCCGCGGUAAUACGGAGGGUGCAAGCGUUAAUCGGAAUUACUGGGCGUAAAGCGCACGCAGGCGGUCUGACAAGUCAGAUGUGAAAUCCCCGGGCUUAACCUGGGAACUGCAUUUGAAACUGUCAGGCUGGAGUCUUGUAGAGGGGGGUAGAAUUCCAGGUGUAGCGGUGAAAUGCGUAGAGAUCUGGAGGAAUACCGGUGGCGAAGGCGGCCCCCUGGACAAAGACUGACGCUCAGGUGCGAAAGCGUGGGGAGCAAACAGGAUUAGAUACCCCUGUAGUCCCUGUCUCUUAUCC